AGUGUUCCACUGUUACAAUUCUUAUCACUUUGCGCAAAACGCAAAAUGUCUUGUGCCUUAAGUGAGCUAAUUUCGUUGUUUUAAUCAAAGUAAGUGAAAAGGUCAUAAACUAAACUGCGCCACAACGCACAGCUGAUGAUGAAAACAAAACAAACACAAAAAUACUAUUCGUAUAGCACGGAAUUUAAUGAAAUAAAAACCAAUUAUAUCAUAAUAUUGUCGUGAUUGUGUAUAAAAACAAUAAAGACUUCAAACCAUUCACGUACAGUCAACAUUUGACUAUCAGCGACGAACGAGUAAGUAAAAUAUACAAAAUGACCAAGUUUCUUCUUCGAUUUUUCGUUUUCGUAUGCACCAUUUAUACGAUAUUCGCUGCCGUUGCCAUAGGACUACCUAAUUCAAAAUAUCGAGAUCGAUGUUUCGAUGGGGAAAGAACUUAUCGUUUUGGUGUCCAUUAUCCAUAUAAUGAGUGCGUGAAAAUUGUAUGUUCUAGUGACACCACCCUUCAUUUUGAAUCAUGCGGUUCGAUGAGUUCCCCUGAUGGAUACGAAAAUGUUCCUGAUUUAUCGAAAAAAUAUCCAGAGUGUUGUGAGAACAUUGUUAAAAAGGAGGAUAUAGAGAAUACAAUUGAAUAAAAUGGAAUUUUUAUAAAAGUACGAAUUUUAAUUUGACUUUGUUCGCUUUUGAACUUUGUUCGCUGAUACAAUGAGCUAUCGCUUAACAAAUAUUUCAUGACCCAAACCUUUCAGCAGUAUAAAUUAUACUUAACACGCCACUUGAAUGUGUAUAGCUUUGUGUAGAUGUGUGUCGAACCACUUCUCUGCUUAAUUGAGUAUGGCUUGGCACAACUAGUUAGUAUUAAACAAUCUGUCAAACCGUGCAAAUAGAUACACAAUGUACAUGGGAUUUGUAUUGUUUUGUUUGUUGUCUGUCGUUUUGAUCUCACCAUCGAAUGGUGCUGAUCGAGCUGUAUGGAUUACAGGCGAAUCAGGUAUUCAUGCCGAUCAUCCGGGAAAGUGUUGGUCUUCGUCAUUAAAUCGUGAAUUUAAUGUUGGCGAAGAGAUAACCGAUAAAACCAAAUGCGAACUCAUACGAUGCGGAGCCAAUUUGAAAUUUUCACGACGAGUUUGCACAAAUCGUUUGCCUCAAGCAGGCUGUACGAGAAUUAAACCGGAUUCAUCGAAAAACUAUCCAGAUUGCUGUGGGAUGGUGAAGUGUGAUCCUGUGAAAAUUGACUACUGACUGCGUACCAACAAAAAUAUCAUCUCAUUCCAAUCAAACUAAAUGAAUUGCAACAAGUUAUGUUCGCCGGAAAGCAAAUCUGUUUAUAAAUUUUUUUAGUAAAUUUAACGUUUUCAUAGAUUAAAUAAAAAAAUGUGUCUGUCAGUGAAAAUACUCUUUGUUUAUUAUUCUUUCCAAAACCUAUAUGAUUUCAAGUUUGUUUUUUGCGUCAAACGAGCUCUGAGAAUGAAAUAAAUUAUAAAAACAACUUGUUUGUUUUUCAUGUGAAGAUGUUGACGUUAUUAAAAUCCAAUGAGAUAACGUUUGAUAGAUAUUGUUAAACAACCUUGGCCAAAACUUUCAGUGAGUUAGAAUAUGUGUUUGUCUUAUUCCUAUUUUAUGUCAUGAAAUCAUAAGCAAUCGAUCUACUAUUUAAAAACGUAGUACACUCAGCAAUCGAAAUCAGUUUUAUUUGGGGACUUGAAUCGUUAAAAUCAAAUACAUAAAAUGAAAAUUUGUUUAGUUUUGUCUGUGCUUUUUGCUCUCGUCUGUAUGAAUUGGGCUGCUGUUGCUCACAUUCCAAAUACAAAGCACAAAGACUAUCCAAAUCAGUGUUAUAUCGAAAGCGAGAAUAAGGCCUAUACUUUUGGUAUACAUUACCCGGCAAAAAAGUGCAUUGAACUACUUUGUAACCAGAACUAUUCAGUUCAAAUACAUACAUGCGGUAGAGUUUUUACGGAAGAAGGAUAUCACAACGAAAUUGACUAUAACAAACCAUAUCCAGAUUGCUGUGUGAAUAUUGUGAAAGAUACACAAUAAGUUUCAAGAAAUUAAUGAUGUGCUCUAGUAUGUGCACACAAAAAAAAUUAUAAAGUUACAUUUCGACAAUACAUUUUAUUGAAAGAAAUUGAAUUGAAAAGUGUUUGUUUUUUCUUCUCAUAAUUUUGAAGUCCAACGUUUUAACUUUAUAUGAACAGUGAACACAUUUCAUUUAAUUUUAUCGGGUAGGACUCAACAGGAGUUGAAGCAGAAAUGCCUACUCUAAACACCUUGCUUGUUUUUUCUUCAAAUAUUAUUCCACUUGAUGGAGAAAGUUUCAAUUGGCAAUUUCACAAUUUGUAAAGCAUAAAUCCUCAAUUUUGGACCUCCGAAUGUAAUUUUCGGUCUAUUAUAAGCUGUUUCGGUGAACAUGUUAUUUUUACUUUUUGUAGUAGUAACAAACAAGCAAAUACAAACUUUAGAUGAUUUGUAUUCAGAGGAAAGUAUCAUAGGUGUAGUAAAAUUGUGAUACCCUAUAAAUCAAGCGAACUAUCUAUAGAUAAUUUUCAUUCCUUCCGUGUCCUCUGAUAUUUUUUACAUAAACUAUCGAGGUUCGAUAAACUAUGGACCCGUUCUAAAAUCGGAUCAAUAUGUUUCCGAGCGAGUCAUACGAAAUAUUGACAGGACAACUAGUUCAAUAAUGGAAAGUGGUUUGAUCAGAUUUUGCGAAAAUUUUUCAGCAUUUUUGACGAGAAUCCAUGCGGAACAAUUUUAAAAGUACAAAACUGUACUUUGUUGAUGAGGAAUAUGUUGUGACCAUAGGACAAUUGAAGAUCCCAUUGAUAAUCUAUUUGAAAGAAAUCAAGAAAUCCAAUCCGUCGAGAAAAUAAUAUUAAUUCACGUUGAUAAAAUUGUAAAAUGUGUAUUUUCCACCUUGAUAGUAGUAUUUUUCCAUUACACCGACUGUGUGAUUGUUUAUAUCAGUGUUUGUCGUUCUAACUUUGUGGAUAAGCUUAUGUAAAAAUAUUGCAGCAAAAUAAAUAAAGAACACAUAAUCAAUCAAAAAUAAACACUUCAAA